ACACACACAGAGCUCCAGGCGUGGGUCCUCUUUGGCUUCAGCUGCCUCCUGUCUCCCUGUGUCUGCUCUGCUCAUCACAGCUGUUGAUGGGUUCUCGCCGGCUGGCCACAGAAGACCAAUACUUCCAUCACACUGCUCCUACAGUUCUUGCUCUGAAGGAAAAUUAAGACAUCUUGGCCUUGUUGAAUUUGCUGCUGAAGUAAUACAUCAGAAAACAGCAAGGAAAUUCCAAAUGCCCAGAAUCAGCUCUGCAAUACACACUUUAAUCAAGUCAUUUAUGUGAUUCUACAGAGAUGAGAACAUGCUGUCCUCCUCACGGCUUGCUUUUUUAUGCAAGGAGAGUUACAAGAAUAAUUUUGAUAGAAAACACAGUUUAGGACUGGUUGGAUGAAGUGUUGCCAGAGGUGGUGGCUGUAGUCACUGCCGUUCAGUUGAGCUAGCUAGGAAGGAGCAACUCUACUCCUCUGUGAAGAUACGUGGCCUCCAAAGCAAAGCACAGUCACGAGGCACUGUACACAGCAAAGGCAAUGCCAGUCUGAUCAGAGACUUCAACUACGAGGGAAGUGUAUCUUCUGAGCGUUGCACUGAGCAGCCAAGAGAGCUGAGUGGUAAGAAAAUCCAUAGAAACACUGUGGAAAUGAAGAAUGGAGGCAGGACACGCAGACCAGUGCUUCCCCCUACAAGAGGCCAAGGGUGAGCAUAAGGAAUGAGUAGUGGCCGAAGGAAGCCUCACAGGCAAUGGGAUAAAAUUAUUCUAUACUUCUGUUUGUUUGACUUGUCCUGGGGUCAGAAAAAGAGAUUUGUCCUUUUAUUUUUAUUUUUUUGUAGAUACAGAACUUCAUAAAAGCAGUAUGUGCCUCUGACCAGCAACUUCUCAUCAUAAGAAGAAUAACCUCAAAUUUUUGGCUAGAAAGAAUAUUCAAAAGAAGUAGCUCUAGCAAUGCAAAAGCAUGGAAACUGCAAUACUGCUCCAGAAACAGUGGUCCACCAGGUCUAGCUUUUCAUAGUCAAGAGGCUAACACACUUUUGGAAAUGAUGAAAUAGCAAUGCCAAUUAUUAGUGUAAAACCAUCUACAUAAACGGGACACAAUUCACCACUCACAGGCUUUGAAAGUGGAAGCUUUAUGAAGUCUUCCAUGCAUCACAUUAUACCUCUUUCUAUGCACUGUUACAAAGAUAAAAACACUGAUUAUACAAAUUGGAGGGAUAAAGACAUAUCUCUGUAUUUCAGCUUUUUGUAACAAAGGUCUUUGCUGAAACAGGUAGUAGAAGCA